rnacentral:lncRNA from 1 species
AGCACAUGGUCCUUUCCAAACUUUUAAUAAAAAUCUCCCUCCUUUGGACUCUGUUUCUUGUAAUUUAGGGCCCCGUGUAACAAUAGGCAGUUGUCCUACAGUCUGGUGGACACUAAGCUCCUCAAUGCUUACAGAACCCUGGAAGGUUACAAGACAGAGUGGGAAGGAGGCAGAGCAGUUUUCCUAGGUGCAGGGACCUGGGAGGCAGCAUGUAAGAAGUAGCAGGGUUAUACACUGCAUGUGGUUUUGUACAUGAAGACAGUUGGUCAUAACCAAGUAAGAAGACCCAGUACACGCUGCACAUUGAAAUAGCCACUUGGCAACUUUGCUUGACUGGGAGUGAUAUCCAAAUCAUUGGUUCAUGGAUGUAAGUACUAUGCAAACUGAUGAUCCUAGAAGGCAGAGAAUAAAGAAAAACUGCAUGAGGAUGAGAAAGUUGAACUGCUUCCCCCUCCCCCAAGCCUGCUCUUUUCCUUUUUAGUCCUACUUCAGGUAAGACACAAUAAGUACCUCUAUUAUGAUUCUAGAGGAGGGGAGAGGAAAAACCUAGAGCAAAAUCCAGAGAUAC